UAGGGAAUCUUCGGCAAUGGACGAAAGUCUGACCGAGCAACGCCGCGUGAGUGAAGAAGGUUUUCGGAUCGUAAAACUCUGUUGUUAGCGAAGAACAAGGACGUUAGUAACUGAACGUCCCCUGACGGUAUCUAACCAGAAAGCCACGGCUAACUACGUGCCAGCAGCCGCGGUAAUACGUAGGUGGCAAGCGUUGUCCGGAUUUAUUGGGCGUAAAGCGAGCGCAGGCGGUUUCUUAAGUCUGAUGUGAAAGCCCCCGGCUCAACCGGGGAGGGUCAGUGGAAACUGGGAGACUUGAGUGCAGAAGAGGAGAGUGGAAUUCCAUGUGUAGCGGUAAAAGGCGUAGAUAUAUGGAGGAACACCAGUGGCGAAGGCGGCUCUCUGGUCUGUAACUGACGCUGAGGCUCGAAAGCGUGGGGAGCAAACAGG
rnacentral:rRNA from 1 species